GGAAAACAUUUUUAGAAUUUUUAAUCAAUUUAUUUGGAAAAGUGUUUUGGAAUUCAUAGAAGCUUGUGCUUCAGCUUUGCAACCGCAGUUGAAAUGAAUUGCAAUAUUCAUGGGGUUUUUUGCAUUUGAAGUUCGGUAUUCUUUUUCCACACUUUCCGCACAUCAAAAUGCAUUGGAUUUCGUCUUUCACUCCGCUCUCAGGACACCAAAAAAAAAGAUGAAAAAUGCGGAAAAAAAACCAAACGAAAUACAGCGCCUAAAAGCUUUUGGUGUGUUUCAUAGCCACAUAACCCCUUCAUUUUUAGAGCACAGCCAGAGAUGGGAGCAGAGCGGUGGAGAGGAUAGGGGAACAGAACAAAGCAAUGUCUCAAGUGGCAAGGCACAAAAAACGGUUGGCGUGUUCCGACGGAUUAAUGCGCACUGCUUGAGGGUGUAUAAUGCCAAAGUAUAAUCUAAUAAGCUGGUGAAAUUGUUAAAGGACCUCAUGGAUUUGCUUGGGGAUCUCUGUAAUGGGUAAAGUUUAAAAUUGCAUUAGAAGACUGCAUAAAUAACAAGGCAAAUACAAACAAGUAACCAGCACAAAUGCCAUGGGGAUGAGUGUCCUUAUUGAAUCGCUUCAAAACAAACAACAGAUCUUUUCCAGAUAAUGAAACAAAUAACAACAGACUAAGCAUAGAGCAAUUUAUUUGAAAAGGUGUGGAAGUUAUUAAGCUAUUGGUUACACAAAAUUGUUUAAAAAUAAAUAAUAAAUA